rnacentral:lncRNA from 1 species
GACGAAUAAUGGCGUAGUGGGUGCUGCCCUACUUCACAAAAAUUAGGAUUUAUGGCGUAGUCGACAACUUGCGGAAAGCCAAGACUUCAGACACAGUUGGCCUUGCCUCAACACGAAACUGCGCUCAGAAUACGCAUUAGGCAGUGUCGUAAUCGUCGGUGAAUUCUUUCCAUCCAUCCACACGGCUUAGCUGUAAAAGCAGCCUGUGGGAUGAGUACUGGCACACGUGAAGAUUGUAUUUAGUUAAAUGUCAGAGAGAUAGAGUAAAAAAUAAUGCUUGCAUACGCUCAUAUCAGACGUGAACUUGAAGGUGAAUCUGAAGGGCGCUCUGUUAAAGCAGAGAUGAGGAACCCUGUCUAUUGAUGAGCCGUCCUGUGAUAAAUUAGUUCAGAGAUGUUAAACUGUCCGCUGAAAAAAAGGGGUAGCAAUAAGGGAAUCAAGGAAAUCUAAGAGUACAUUUAACAGGUAUAGAUAAUAACGUAUCAGAUGUAGAAAAAUGUAGGUUGAAGUUGAACAAGAGGCUGAAGAGCGUUGCCAGUACGAGGAACAAGAAACUAUGGUAGCGUGUUUUACCUUAUGUGUACCUGUUAGUCUUCUGUGCUUAUGUGCGUAUGUCAAGCCACACAAAACAUUUGACAUUAUUCGCGCACAUGUGAACUCAUUCUACUAACCUGAAGUCGUGCUUGAAUCUUUGUGACUCACGUACUGUUGGAUUCCGUUGCGUUUCCACAUUUGGUGUUCUACUGGAUGAUAUAAUUUGCGCUGUUUCCAUUUUUCUCUUUUCUUUGCAUUUUAUGUUUCGUUUGCUAAGUGAACCAGUAGCCGUAGCCGCCAAUAAGGCAUUAACUUCUCGUAUCCAUCAUUUCAAUAAUAAAAAAGAAGUGACAAUGUCCCGGUACUACAAAAAUCGAUCAAGUACCAAAGGGUGCUUCAAGACAUCAAACUAAGAUGGCAAACACGCAACGUUGCGGUGCUCGCAUACAUUGUCAAUUCUAUAUACUUUAACGACUCCACCAGCUGCUGGAAUUUGCUACCAUUUACUGUACAACGUCUUUUGUGCCUACCCCUGACUACCGACACACUUUAUAAGCUCUUAGAGCAAGCCCUCACAUUAUUGCGCACUUGCUUUUGUCAGUAUACAUACGAUAAUCGUUGCAAGCACCGACUAAGGCUACCAGGUGAUUUUUUUAUAUUUAUCGCAUACUCAGCAUCAUUAAAAUUUUACAGCUGCCGAAAUUAUUAGUGUUCAAAAAUGAUUCCAUGGGUUUUGCCAAGUUCACAUAAUGUGAUAUCCAUGCGAGAACUCUCUGCAGGUAAGUAAAAAACGAAGACAUCAGCAGUGUCGCGUUGAGCAUAUAACUGGAAAACACUUGUCCAGUUGCAUGAAAAAAUAUGCACGGCAUAAAACACUGUACAUAACAGUAACAAAAGGCUCAUAGCCCGCUACGUGUCGACAUUCUAACCCCAAAAGCAAAACACUCAGACGUGGUAUAGAUUCGGUCUUGUCUUAAGAAAUGCUUUAAACACAUUAUUGAACCCUUCCUACCCAAAUACCUUGAGAAAUGUGUAAAAUGUAGAUGGAUAAAAUGUAGAUGUUGUAAAUUUCUCUAUUUUGAGCAGUGUUUUUCUCUGCUUUUGAUAUGCCAUUAUGGCUUGCAAAAUGGUGUGCACAACGUCUAAAGGACUAUGGAAAGCAGUAGUGCAUGUGUUGAGAGCAAGGCCGGUGUGACGCGGUUGAUAAAUUCAUGCACAAUUCAUACAUAAUUCAUACAUAACAAUGCAUAUUACAGUGUCAUUUACGCUUACAUUAGAUAUGCAGCCAAGGCAAUGCCGCGGAAGACACAGACAAUUGUGCAAACCGGUUAUGCAUUUACACUGCCGCCUAUCUAAGUCGCAAGCAAGGAAUUCGAAGUAAGCCCAAUCCGCCAACCUGCGCGAUUAAAGGAGAAAUCUAAAUGCAUCGCAUUUUCGCAGCAAUCGCCAUCGACAAAGUAUGGAGGAAUAGAAAACGUGUCUUUAUUCACGUACCAAUGACCGGUUUUAUAUCUUUGUAGGCCGCUGUGGCCACACAGGAAACCACUGUGCAGGCACCUAUCCAAAUUCGCAAGACACUACCGAACAAGCUCUGUCGAGCGCUUGCGGAAAUGUCAAGAUACUGAAAGGCUUCACGGACAUUGUGGCUCAUAGCAGAGGCAAGAGAUGGACGAAUUUCUUCUCCAGCGAGCUUCGUCUAUUCCGAGCGAGUAUCAUAUGCCAGCGAAAUUCUUCAUCGCACGACAUCACCCAUGCCUAUGCCAUCCACGAAUGGCUCAAUCAUCAUC